CCAGCAUCCACUACGGACUACGAGAAAUAGAUUUACCGGUGAGUAAAAUCUUAUUUUCUGAGCAGGUAAGUUUCCUGUCCCUGGGUGUCAUGGUGUGUGUGUUUGGUGAGAGUGUGUAUCUUAUUUCUUAUUGGCCAUUUCUCUCUCAUGUAGGUGUCUCUAUUGUUUUUUGUUCCCAUUAUAUUUGGAGUGCUAAAGUAGGCCAUUUUUCAGUUUAAUUUUCCAAAGAAGUGUUCCUUUAUUUUCUGAGCAGGUGUCUCUAUUGUUUUUUGUUCCCAUUAUAUUUGGAGUGCCAAAGUCACCCAUUUUUCAGUUUAUUCUUCCAAAGAAGUGGUCCCUUAUUUUCUGAGCCGAUGCCUCAAGACAAUGGAAGAACAUUUGUUGCUGCUGUUGUAAAGAUGUGGAGACAGAAAAAAUCGUUUAACAAUUACUGAAAUCUAACCUUGUACACACUAUUGAUUAGGUUUUGCUUUUGGAAAGUGAAUGUUGUUGAUUUUCAUUUUUAUUCACUCACGGACUAUUUCAUAUAAUCCAUUUAAGUAAUCACGCUGUGCAGAAAAUGGAUAAAAUGUAAGUGGUCAAUUUUAGUUGUCUAUCCACAGCCAAUGAAUGAGCUUGGCACAUCUGUCUGCCUGUGUGUUUUGAGAAAUAAUAGACGAAAGUGGAUUGAUAUGGAGCAUCCAGUUAGGAGGGCUUUUAGUUAUUAGAUCUGUUUCUCCUUAAUUUCAGCACAUGUUCCCUUUCUGGGACAGUCCUAAUCUCAGAGCUCAAUUCCCUCCCCCCAAACUUCACAAAUGCUGUAAAGAAGGAGGAGCCUACUUCUUGACAGUGCUGGGCUUAUGGAUUAGUUCAUCUGUGUCUGUAAGCAUGAAACAGAAUUGUGGGCGAUGGAUUAUUUCAGUUAGGAGCUUUACUGAGAGAGAGAGACAGAGAUCGCCACUGAUGAAUCCGCCUUUUCAGGUCUGGGCAAUGGGCCGGACCCAAUUUCUUAGCAGGCAACUUUCGGAACUUGGUAGACAAUUAUAUGAGCUGGGUACAGGGUCCCCUAAGCCUCCAGGCCCCAUAGCAAUAGCAUCCCUUGCUCCUUUAGCUACACCCAUGGAGGGACCCCUCCCCCUCUUUUUAAAAUGGGUGCCCCUGAAUUUUAUGGAUGUGCCAGGUAGAGACCUUCCACCAUCACUGGAUUCGAUCAUCUUUCUGUAGUGCAGUUUUUUUCCUGGUGAUCAUACUAAUCACCAGGCAAUAAUCUCUAUGGGGGCACAUAGUUUGAAAGAGGGGACUCCCCUCCAGGGGCAUAUCAAUUCUUUGGUUAGGAUUGCUCUCGCCAGGGGUGGCAACUGAGGAGGGGGCACCACUCGGCAUUGCCACCCAUGGCUAAGGGAUAGAAUUAGUGGCAGUAAGCCAGAGCUCCAUGAGCUGAGUUGCAGGAAUGGCCAUUGUUCUCCAGUGGCAGCGGUUGCGUGGACAGCUGUGUGGGUUGAACCUCUCACAAUCACAUGCUGUGGAAGCUGGAGAAGGGUCUGACUCUGACGGUUAAGGGCCUAGGAACAGGUCACUCAGGAUUGAGAUUCCCAAUAAAAAAAAUCUACCAUGUGCCUGACAUAUAUGACAUUGCUGCAGGUUACAUAAGAUCUUGUCCACUGCGGAAUCUCUAACUCCAACCCAAAGUUUCCAAUGUCCCCACUGGCUCCACCCAGUGCACGAUACAGCCAGGAACACACUCAACCCCAUGCUAUACCCAUGCUGCCUUGCAUGCAGCCAUCACCGGACACUGGGUAACGCAGUGGGUACAAACACACAAGCAUGGUGCCAGCCUGGCAAGCAGACAAAAUGGUGACAUAUACUAAGUGUAAUGGUGGGUUGUACAUAUUGAUGGGGUGCUGAAUUAAUAAGGAAAUGCUGAGCUCAAGUUUGAAGAAAUUACCUGGGAGGAUGUGAUAGGGAAGCUAUGCAACUAAUGGUUGUUAUGGUUGUGGUUUGAAUGUAUGAAUGUGGCCUGGGACGUGAGGGCACCUAUAGCCUUUUCUUUAUGCAGAAGUAUGCUUUAUAACAUUAUACAUAUAGCUUACCCUGCCUUUAUUCAUACAUGUCUACAUUUCAUAACUGCACGCCUGUAAAAAUAAGACAAAAAAGAUGUGCAUGUGACUUGAUGUCGCGAUUAAUGGGCGGAGCAAGGUAUGAGAAGACAUGAUUUGUGUUAUGAUGGCAGCGCCCCCCUGCCCCUGCUUCAUGCAUUGUACUUUGUGAUUAUUAUAAAAGCCUUAUCUAAAGAAGCACCCACUAUUUUUCACUUAAAGGUUACCCAUUACCAGUGGCGGAACUAGCAGUCGGUGCAGUGCACCGGGCCCGCUGCUACGAAGGGGCCGCACCACUGGCAAUAUGAUGAGUCAGAAUGACUCAUUAUAUGCAGCUGCGCCAUUGGCUGCCAGUAAUAGAAUGGGCACGGAAUCUGAGCAUUUGCUCUGGCCAGAGGGAAGGCGCGGGGCGCCUCCUCCCCAUCUCCUCCCCUUUCCUCUCCUUAUUCCUUCCCAACCAGGCCAUUUCUGAGGUUGACCUUGCUGCUAGCACUGGGGAUCUGACGUCACGAUCUCAUGACUGUCCCCGACGCCAACAUUUCUCAAGGAGUUGCAGGAACAGCCAUCACCAUGCGCUGCACUUAUGGACAUAUGGUAUAUAUUGCUGGGAUGGAUAUACAAUGUACUUUGAGCAUUAAACAAUAGGUGGUCGUUUAGCUGCUGUGGCCUGAAUCUGAGACUUGUAGUUCCCCUGUAUGUGUAUCAUGACUAAGCCUUUUCUUUGUGUACACUUGUAUGUCUGUUUUGGAAGUGUUGUUGACUUAUAAGUGAUUUCUAGUGAUUAAAAGCUCAUUAUUGUG